rnacentral:rRNA from 1 species
AACGAACGCUGGCGGCAUGCCUAACACAUGCAAGUCGAACGAGACCUUCGGGUCUAGUGGCGCACGGGUGCGUAACGCGUGGGAACCUGCCCUUAGGUUCGGAAUAACUCCCCGAAAGGGGUGCUAAUACCGGAUAAUGUCUUCGGACCAAAGAUUUAUCGCCUUUGGAUGGGCCCGCGUUGGAUUAGCUAGUUGGUAGGGUAAAAGCCUACCAAGGCGACGAUCCAUAGCUGGUCUGAGAGGAUGAUCAGCCACACUGGGACUGAGACACGGCCCAGACUCCGACGGGAGGCAGCAGUGGGGAAUAGUGGACAAUGGGCGAAAGCCUGAUCCAGCAAGGCCGCGUGAGUGAUGAAGGCCUUAGGGUUGUAAAGCUCUUUUACCCGGGAUGAUAAUGACAGUACCGGGAGAAUAAGCUCCGGCUAACUCCGU